UAGAAUGAUGCUGGCUUAGACCAGAGCCAGCGGGGCACUGGCACAUUUUAGCCAGAUAGGCCAGAGCCAAUGAGAUUGAAACACAACAUUUGAACUGAUAAGGAGUGUAUAAAAGUGAGAGGCUUUGAAAGUAAAGCAGUGACAACUCUCUAGAGACCAACCAUCAUGGAUGUGGAGAUCACAUUGGGACCACAAGGAAUGCCUGGAUAGCGGAGACACUUUUUCUCUUCUUUGACUGCUCACGGAGGGUCAAGGAAACUUAGUAGUUAUGGUGACAGGAAAACAGAAAAAGAUCAAGCCUGAACUUGCACUUGAAUCAUCAAAAUAUAUGGAUAAUAUUCAAUACCCAGGUGCCCAACAACUCAAGUCGGCCCUCCUUAUCUGCAAGGGAUUGGUUCCAGGACCCUUCGCGGAUACCAAAAAAUGCGGAUGCUCAAGUCCUUCAACCUGUCUAAAUGCGGUGGACCUUAGGACCCAGAGGAACCCCGGACCUUAUAUAACCAGUCUCAGUGCAGUGGACAUUAGGACCCAGCGGCGGAGUUCUGAAUCCGCAGUGUUUCUGUUCACGAAAAUAAUCAUGAUCGCGAUUUAAAAUAAAGUGGAAAUAAUAAAGUGAUUGGAAAGAGGUGAAAUGCCAUCGGUCAUUGGAAAAGCGUUAGGCUACAGUCGGUCAAUGAUCGUUACAAUUUUAAAGGAUAAAGUGAGAAAAGUCCUGCCCCGAUUAAAGCCCCAACUAAGCAACGCAGUGGUUUAAUUAUUGGGUUUUAGGGUUUUGGUUUUGGGUUUUUGAUUCUUCACAUCCACCCGGCAGGGAUGGAGAGCAUGCUCGGGAGUGGUCUGUCACUGGAUCAAACUCAGGAAUUUCCGUUCCCGAGCCCGGUGCUGAAACAUACGUUUAAGUGUUUUAUAUGCAUAGAAAGGUAAAAUAUAUACUAUGUACUAAGACAAACGUUUGACUAACUGACGCUAAAUAAUACUGGAUGUACCUGUACCGACUUACUUAGUAAGAGAACUUCCGGUUUUUCUCCGAUCCUGAUCCACGAUAACCUACGCACAUCCUCCCGUAUACUUUAAAUCAUCUCUAGAUUACUUAUAAUACCUAAUACAAUGUAAAUGCUAUGUAAAAUAGUUGUUAUACUGCAUUGUUUAGGGGACAAUGACAAGAAAAGAAAGUCUGUACAUGUUCGAACAACAAGUGCUGGAAGAA